UACGUAGGGUGCAAGCGUUGUCCGGAAUUAUUGGGCGUAAAGAGCUCGUAGGCGGUUCGUCGCGUCGGCUGUGAAAACCCGGAGCUCAACUCCGGGCCUGCAGUCGAUACGGGCGGACUUGAGUGUUGCAGGGGAGACUGGAAUUCCUGGUGUAGCGGUGAAAUGCGUAGAUAUCAGGAGGAACACCGGUGGCGAAGGCGGGUCUCUGGGCCGAUACUGACGCUGAGGAGCGAAAGCGUGGGGAGCGAACAGG
rnacentral:rRNA from 1 species